AGGAGUAUUGGCAUUUCACUAAAAAAGGAGUUGGGUUUUUUAAAUGAGGGCAUGUGCUCGCUCUGUUCACACGUCCAUUCACACCUGUGCACCCUCCAUAGUUCUGUAGCCUUGGGGGCUUUGUCCCCCUGCUGUGGUUCUAUGUAUUUACACACACACACACACCGUAAAGAAGUCUCAUGGAAUGCAUGCCGCGUUUAACGCAAUACAAUACAACUUUCAGCAACGGAUCUCUUGGCUCUCGCAUCGAUGAAGAACGCAGCGAAAUGCGAUAAGUAAUGUGAAUUGCAGAAUUCAGUGAAUCAUCGAAUCUUUGAACGCACCUUGCGCCCUUUGGCCAUUCCGAAGGGCAUGCCUGUUUGAGUAUCAUGAACACCUCAACUCUCAUGGCUUGCCAUGAUGAGCUUGGACUUUGGGGGUCUUGCUGGCCUGCAGUCAGCUCCUCUCAAAUGUAUCAGCUUGCCAGUGUUUGGGGGCAUCACAGGUGUGAUAACUAUCUACGCUUGUGGUUUCCACCAGGUAACCUUCAGCGAUGGAGGUUCGCUGGGGCUCAUAAACGUCUCUCCUCGGCAAGGACAGCUUUUUGAACGUUUGAUCUCAAAUCAGGUAGGACUACCCGCUGAACUUAAGCAUAUCAAUAAGCGGAGGGAA
rnacentral:rRNA from 1 species